rnacentral:sRNA from 1 species
AUUCCCUGGGAACCGUCGUAGGUUAAGGUGCCGGGAUGCACGUUUGCCGCUUUUUUUCCUGGUGAAACUUGAGCUGUGAGCCCAGAAACCCUAGGGACCGGAGCCCGAUGGAAUGAAGCCUCCGGGUCCACUUCUCAUGGCCUUCCACCCUGGAGAAGGCACCAUUUUAGCCCACCCAGCCGCAGAAUCCCCUACAGCUAGUUUUCUUCUGUCUUGUGCCCACUCCCCCGGCUCUGCCCUGACAGCUUCUGGAGCUCUCUAGAUUGACCCUCGUCCCUGCCUUCCAGCUUGUGGGACGUCUCUCACACUGCCCGUGCUUAUUUUACCAAACCGCAGGAACAAGAUUUACGUGUUAAAUACCUGAUUUCAUGGACUGUGUGCCCCGGCUGUUCUAACCAAAACAGUCACGCGCCUGUUUCCCAUCUCUUGACCCUCGUGUUAUGUUACUGUCUUCCUGUCAUAUUUGGGAGUUAGUCUCUGAGUUUUCUUCCCAGGUGCCUUAGCUGGACCAAUUAUUGUGGAGCCACAUGUCACAGCAGUAUGGGGAAAGAAUGUUUCAUUAAAGUGUUUAAUUGAAGUAAAUGAAACCAUAACGCAGAUUUCAUGGGAGAAGAUACAUGGCAAAAGUUCACAGACUGUUGCAGUUCACCAUCCCCAGUAUGGAUUCUCUGUUCAAGGAGAAUAUCAGGGAAGAGUCUUGUUUAAAAAUUACUCACUAAAUGAUGCAACAAUUACUCUGCAUAACAUAGGAUUCUCUGAUUCUGGAAAAUACAUCUGCAAAGCUGUUACAUUCCCGCUUGGAAAUGCCCAGUCCUCUACAACUGUAACU